AAUUAUUUGAUGCUAAAAAAGAAGAAUUUCACUGUUAAUGAAAAAAAUGAAUAAAAUCUAAUUAAAAAA
rnacentral:tRNA from 1 species